AACGCGAAGAACCUUACCUGGGCUUGAACCGUUGGAAGUAGAAUUGAUGAAAGUCGAGACGACCUGUAAAGUCAGGAACCAAUAGAGGUGCUGCAUGGCUGUCGUCAGCUCGUGUCGUGAGAUGUUGGGUUAAGUCCCGCAACGAGCGCAACCCUUACCCUAUGUUGCUACGUCUGUAAUGGACAGCACUCUUAGGGAACUGCCUCGGACAACGGGGAGGAAGGUGGGGAUGACGUCAAGUCACCAUGGCCUUUAUGUCCAGGGCUACACACGUGCUACAAUGGCCGGUACAACGAGCAGCAAAUCCGCAAGGAGGAGCAAAUCUCUAAAAGCCGGCCCCAGUUCGGAUUGUGGUCUGCAACUCGACCACAUGAAGUUGGAAUCUCUAGUAAUCGCAGAUCAGCAGGCUGCGGUGAAUACGUUCCCGGGCCUUGUACACACCGCGCAUA
rnacentral:rRNA from 1 species